CAGUAAUUUCUAAAAAUAUAUCUAUCUUUGUCUGGGGCCGGCAUUGAGCCAGAGGCAAGAAUGCUCUUGGGUAGACGUUCAAAUUGGAGGAGAAUUCCCCACGCGAUGGCUCCGACGUGGAGACCAGAAUCCUCUUAGAGAAGAGAGGAGACCUGGGCAGAAGGGAGAUGCUGAUGGGAGCGAGACAGAACCGAUUCUCCCGGCCAGGCUCCACGGAGCCCUCCUGUCCAUCCACGCCUCGCCUGGCCUGUGAGGCUGUGGACCAACACGAAAGAUUUCUAAGAGCUCAAGCUGCACCCCUAGAUGGACCCUGGGGCCCCCUGAAGUGCCUGUCUGGGAAAACUCAGCCUAAACAGGUUACUGUGGCCCCGCCCGCUCCUGGUGGUAGGACCCUGUCCGUAGGCCUGACAACUGGCAGAUGUAAAAGGCAGUGCUGUUAACCAGGGUCAGCAAGCGGCGCCCCAGCCCCAGGACCUGUAUUAUCACCGGACGUUUGCACCUUCUGAAGACGGCAGGAGCCUGACGUCGGUGUGUGCUGGCUCACAAACCCAGCACAAUUCACCAUAGCAAAGAUUUGGCAACAGCCUCAGUGCCCAUCAGC